rnacentral:tRNA from 3 species
AUUAUUUUGGCAGAAUUAAUGUGAUGAAUUUAGGUUUCAUUAAUAUAUAAAUUUAUUUAUAUAAAUAAUA